ACUGGGUUUCAGAGACGUGAGCCGUCGUCGGUUGUUAAAAUCAUUUCUAGCCAAACAAACAUUUUCAGACAUUCGGCUCUACGAAACUAGCUAUAUUAUUUUAUAGUACGAUUAUAAUUUAAUAUAACAAUAAUGGAAAUUUCUUAAUAAUUUUUAUUAUCUUUAUCAUCCCAUAAUGGUAAUCGUUUUGUUAUCGGUAAAAAAUUUUGAUACGCUUCGCUGAAUACGAAUAUGUAUAUUUAGUUUGG